rnacentral:rRNA from 1 species
UCCGCGCAUGGGCGCAGCCUGAUCCAGCAAUGCCGCGUGAGUGAAGAAGGCCUUCGGGUUGUAAAGCUCUUUUGUCAGGGAAGAAACGGCUCAGGCUAAUAUCCUGGGCUAAUGACGGUACCUGAAGAAUAAGCACCGGCUAACUACGUGCCAGCAGCCGCGGUAAUACGUAGGGUGCAAGCGUUAAUCGGAAUUACUGGGCGUAAAGCGUGCGCAGGCGGUUUUGUAAGUCUGACGUGAAAGCCCCGGGCUCAACCUGGGAAUUGCGUUGGAGACUGCAAGGCUUGAAUCUGGCAGAGGGGGGUAGAAUUCCACGUGUAGCAGUGAAAUGCGUAGAGAUGUGGAGGAACACCGAUGGCGAAGGCAGCCCCCUGGGUCAAGAUUGACGCUCAUGCACGAAAGCGUGGGGAGCAAACAGGAUUAGAUACCCUGGUAGUCCACGCCCUAAACGAUGUCUACUAGUUGUCGGGUUUUAAUUAACUUGGUAACGCAGCUAACGCGUGAAGUAGACCGCCUGGGGAGUACGGUCGCAAGAUUAAAACUCAAAUGAAAUUGACGGA